UGUGUUUUGUUCAUUUUAAAUUUGUAAUUCUUUUUGGACAGACAAAAUCACCGUGACAAGUUAACGUACGGUGUGGGGUCAAAUAUCUUUGUCUCAACUCCAUUAGUUUUCAAGGUGUAAAUAAAUGAAUCUCGUCUGUGAAAUUAUACUAGGCCUACCACCAGGGGGAGAGCAAGACCAAGUUGUUAGACUGAGAUUGGAAGCACAGAUUUUUUCGUAGGAAGAAAAGGGCUGUGGUGGAAGAUGCUCUGUUGCCCUUCAUCAGUCACAUUUCCUCUUCAUUAGCAUACUUGCAAGGGAGUUGACUGAAUGCCUCGGACAGAACAGCUGCUGAAAACCUUGCUAACCUGCCGAAGAGAUGAAAGAAUCUAAAAAUAAACACACUGCAUCAGUGCUCACUGCUCAGAGCUGUCUGGAGUGAGGGAUAUUCCCUGCCAUAUAGGAAGGAAUCUAUCCAAGAACAGGAGAAUCAAGACGCAACCGCCUGCAAGAUGAAUUGAAGCCCCCAAGCGGUCAAGCACACAUUAUUUUGGAUGUAUUGAGUCGAAACAGACAAUAUUGUUACACAUAUGCACUUGCACUUUGCUUAUAAGCCUUAUAAUAUAAGGCAUUUGAAUACUCUGUCAGUUUUUGAGGUUGUGGAGGUAGAAGAGACAUGAAGAGGUGGAGAGAGCUGGUAUGAAAGAGAUAGAUCCAUAAACCUUUGAGGAAUGCCAGCCUUAAUUUACAACAAAGAACUGUCAUACCACAGAGCAAGAGAGGCCAUGUCUCAGUCACAGGCAGAAGCCUAAGGUAGUCUCUCAAUUGAUGUCAAAAAAAGGCGAUAGGUGUAAAAAUCUCAAUUACUUUAAAUAUAAGCAAGGCUAAAAGGUCCUGUGACUACUUUGACUUGCUUGUCAUGUGCACAAGACAGUAUUACUGCAUAAUGAUGCAUGGUUUAUUCAUUCUCGUAAUUGUGAUUGAUCAAUU